GCCCCCAUCGUCUAGUGGCCUAGGACACCGCCCUUCUACGGCGGCGUCUCGGGGUCGAAUCCGGUCGGGGGUACCA
rnacentral:tRNA from 1 species